AGUAACGGCGAGUGAAGCGGCAACAGCUCAAAUUUGAAAUCUGGCCCCCGGGUCCGAGUUGUAAUUUGCAGAGGAUGCUUCGGGCGAGGUGCCUUCCGAGUUCCCUGGAACGGGACGCCACAGAGGGUGAGAGCCCCGUCUGGUCGGACACCGAGCCCGUGUGAAGCUCCUUCGAAGAGUCGAGUAGUUUGGGAAUGCUGCUCAAAAUGGGAGGUAUAUGUCUUCUAAAGCUAAAUAUUGGCCAGAGACCGAUAGCGCACAAGUAGAGUGAUCGAAAGAUGAAAAGCACUUUGAAAAGAGGGUUAAAAAGUACGUGAAAUUGUUGAAAGGGAAGCGCCCAUGACCAGACUUGGGCCCGGUGAAUCACCCGGCGUUCUCGCCGGUGCACUUUGCCGGGCACAGGCCAGCAUCAGUUUGGCGCGGGGGAUAAAGGCUUCGGGAAUGUGGCUCCCUCGGGAGUGUUAUAGCCCGCUGCGUAAUACCCUGCGCCGGACUGAGGUACGCGCAUCGCAAGGAUGCUGGCGUAAUGGUCAUCAGCGACCCGUCUUGAAACACGGACCAAGGAGUCGUCUUCGUAUGCGAGUGUUCGGGUGUCAAACCCCUACGCGGAAUGAAAGUGAACGCAGGUGAGAGCUUCGGCGCAUCAUCGACCGAUCCUGAUGUUCUCGGACGGAUUUGAGUAAGAGCAUACGGGGCCGGACCCGAAAGAAGGUGAACUAUGCCUGUAUAGGGUGAAGCCAGAGGAAACUCUGGUGGAAGCUCGCAGCGGUUCUGACGUGCGAAUCGAUCGUCAAAUAUGGGCAU
rnacentral:rRNA from 1 species